rnacentral:rRNA from 1 species
GGCUUGAAAAAAAAAACACGUAUGCAACCUGCCCGCGACAGGAGGAUAGCCCCCCGAAAGGGGAAUUAACCCUCCAUAACACCAUGAGAAGGCAUCUGAUUAUGGUUAAACCGCAAGGGUUCGCGGAUGGGCAUGCGGUUGAUUAGCUAGUUGGCGGGGUAAAGGCCCACCAAGGCGGUGAUCAAUAGGGGUUCUGAGAGGAAGGUCACACACACUGGAACUGAGAUACGGGCCAGACUCCUACGGGAGGUAGCAGUAGGGAAGAUUGGACAAUGGUUGCAAGACUGAUCCAGCCAUGCCGCGUGCAGGAAGAAUUUUUUUU